UACGGAGGGUGCAAGCGUUAUCCGGAUUUACUGGGUUUAAAGGGUGCGUAGGCGGGUUGUUAAGUCAGUGGUGAAAGAUUUGAGCUCAACUCAAAAACUGCCAUUGAUACUGACAAUCUUGAAUAUAGUUGAGGUGGGCGGAAUGUGUCAUGUAGCGGUGAAAUGCUUAGAUAUGACACAGAACACCGAUUGCGAAGGCAGCUUGCUAAACUAUUAUUGACGCUGAGGCACGAAAGCGUGGGGAGCGAACAGG
rnacentral:rRNA from 2 species